rnacentral:rRNA from 1 species
UACGGAGGGGGCUAGCGUUGUUCGGAAUUACUGGGCGUAAAGCGCACGUAGGCGGCUUUGUAAGUUAGAGGUGAAAGCCUGGAGCUCAAAUCCAGAAUUGCCUUUAAGACUGCAUCACUUGAAUCCAGGAGAGGAGAGUGGAAUUCCGAGUGUAGAGGUGAAAUUCGUAGAUAUUCGGAAGAACACCAGUGGCGAAGGCGGCUCACUGGACUGGUACUGACGCUGAGGUGCGAAAGCGUGGGGAGCAAACAGG